ensembl:snoRNA small nucleolar RNA SNORD41
UGAGAAAUGAUGCAAAAUGAGCAACACCUGAGCUUUGCUGAUGUUGGUUGUAUUCGUACUGUCUGAUCUGA